UACGGAGGGUGCAAGCGUUGCUCGGAAUCAUUGGGCGUAAAGCGUACGCAGGCUGUUCGUUAAGUCGGGUGUGAAAGCCCCGGGCUCAACCUGGGAAUUGCAUUCGAUACUGGAUAGCUAGAGUUCGGCAGGAGGGAAGCGGAAUUUCCGGUGUAGCGGUGAAAUGCGUAGAUAUCGGAAGGAACAUCAGUGGCGAAAGCGGCUUCCUGGACCAGAACUGACGAUCAGGCACGGAAAGCGU
rnacentral:rRNA from 1 species